CCUAGAUUCUUCACGAAGGUUCCGUUAUUUCCCGACAAACACACGAGAGAGAGAGGGAGAGAGAGAGGGAGAGAGAUGUCGCACUUUGGGAAGGCAGGCCCGCCGGAUAUCAUAGACACCUACUCGCUUCUCGUCCUCAACAUCAGUUUCCGUACAACUGCUGAUGAUUUGUUCCCGUACUUCGACAAGUAUGGAAAGGUGGUGGACAUCUUCAUUCCCAGGGAUCGAAGGACUGGUGAAUCGCGUGGGUUUGCGUUUGUUCGUUAUAAGUACCAAGAUGAAGCUCAGAAGGCUGUUGAUAGGCUAGAUGGGAGGCUUAUUCAUGGCCGAGAAAUUAUGGUUCAGUUUGCGAAGUAUGGGCCAAAUGCAGAGCGGAUUGACAAGGGAAGGGUCAUUGAACCAGUUCCAAGAACCAGUAGUAGGUUGAGAAGCCGCAGCCCUCGGCGAAGGUACCGAGAUGAUUAUCAUAGGGACUAUGACUAUCCCAGGAGGAGAAGUCGCAGCAGGAGUUUGGAUAGGUAUGACCAUGACAGAUAUCGUGGGAGGGAGAGAGAUUACCACCAUCGAAGCAGGAGUCGCAGUGCUAGUCCUGAUUAUGACAGAGGUCGUGGGAAAGGGCGAUAUGAUGAUCAUCAGAGCAGGAGUAGGAGUCGAUCGUUUGAGAGUGCCUCCCCUCGUCGAGAUAGUCUUAGUCCACGGAGAAGUUUGUCCCCUCGCAAGAAACCCUCCUCCAGGGGUGAGAGUCCUGACAGGCGCAGCUAUGAUGAAAGGUCUCCAACCCCACGAAGUGUUUCACCAAGGCGUCGACCUGCCGAUUCUCGAAGCUCUUCUCCUUGCAAUUCUGACCUUGAUGAGUGAUGCUGCAGGAUGGAAUGGAUAAUAGGCAGGAGAGAAUUAUGAAGGUGUUUGUGUGACCAUUUUGAUACUGUUGAGAGCUUAGAUGGUCGUGAAGUUCUAAUCAAAGUUAGUGCUAUCUCGUUAUGAUCGGGAAAGAUUGAAACUGGUCGUUGGCUGAGAUGGUGAUCUUGUAGCUGUUGGUGCUAUUAUUAUGUAGAUAAAAGUUAAGGUCAUUCUGGUGCUGGUUUUGAAUAGCAGCAUAUGACGGUUGCAGGGAACAGUUCUUUUUAGUGUGGUUCCCAUGUAACUAUGAUCGGUAAGGUAUAUGGUUCAGCUCGUUCACUUUCGAAAAUGAACUUUUUACUUUCUGAUGUUGACCUUGUUAUUCUUGGUGAUCAAAAUAUAUUAGCGAUGAAUCUUGGAAUUCCUUGCUGUGGUGGUCCUAAAAAGGUCAGUAGCUGUCGACGCCGAUGGGAUGCACAUGUUAGGGUACAUGAAUUUGAUAUGCUUGUCUGAACUUGGCGACCAUGUGGGCAAAUGAGGCACAUGGGGCUGGUGAUUGUAGCUGUGAAGUUGUAGCUGAUGUCUUUGAUGUUGUUCGAUACGAGUUUGUUGGUGUAGCUUUGAAGUGAUACUGAAUCUGCCAAUCUGCCAUUGCCGAGUUGUUGCUAAUCUCCCUCAGGUUGAAUUUGGGACUGCCAACUCCCCAUUUGCUAAUUGGUCUGCUUUUGCUGUUGUUGAAAGAAUACCUUUAUGAGGUGCAAAUGCAUUUAUGUGAACUAAUUCAACUAUUGAAGUGAGAAAAUUAUCACCUUCCCUUGUCUCUUAGGGGUAGUGAUGUCUUAUUUUUAGUGGAUCGGGCACUUGUUCUGUCAAUGUUCAUCAGUCAGGCAAGUGUACUUGUGAGUUUUAGAUUCUAUGGAAAUAUCCAAUAGUACCUGGAUAUUACAAACUUA